AAAGGGGAAGGAGACGCCCUGGGCUGGGAUCACAUGAUAUUGUCUUCGCGCCACUUUCGUAAACCCUUUUUAUUCCAGGUUUCGGCUCGAGCUAAAAGGUGUUGUCCUGAAUGCCACAUUGAUACUGAAACACGUUUCUACCUGAUCUUCACUGUGCUGAAAAAAGACGACCGAAGUCUGAGGAGCUUCAUCCUGGUGGAAGGGCCUUGAGUUGUGCAAAAGUGCUUACAGUGCAGGUAUUGAAGAUAAUGGGGCUAUUUGACAUCACCAGUGCUGGACUGUCGGCUGGAUUUUAAAUUUUAAAAAAUGUUUCCUAUUAUGGAGGACAGGACAUCAGGAAGAAAGGCAGGCACUAGGACAUUUUGAAGAGAAUAAAUUGAGAAAGUUUGUUUGUUUUGUUCUCUGGGACGCUGGAAUGUCAGAGGGCUGAGAACCUGUCCCUGGCAGAGUGCUACCGAGCGACCAGACCUCCAGUGAGCGUACAACCCUGUCAAAACUCCAAGGGGAUGCUACUGAUAAGAGACCACUGUGAUCAUCUCAUCUGACCCCCUCUGAAAGGGAAGUGCCUGUAUAAUACACACGAUGGGGAAUCAUUAUCCUGAAUCACGAAAAGAGCUCCCCAGUGCUGACGUUCCAGCUGCUGGAAGGUUGUCAGCCAGAGAGAAGCACUGGUAGGCCUUUGAACUCCACAGACAUGGAUUUGGACUUCGAAAAACAUUCCCCAACAGAGCAACUCACAGAGCAGAACCUGGUCUGUCGGAGGUUGCCAGGGAACUUUGAGAGCAAGCUUUAUCCAUCAGAUAUAUGGUGAUGAGGGCGGUAGAAGAACAUGAAGAGAAUAGAAUAGUAGGAGGGAGAUUGUUGCAACAAGACCAUGUGCUAUGGUUCUUUGCAGUUUGUAAGAAUACUUACAAUCUUCAUUAAUCUUGACAAACAAUGUUUAUGGUAUCUUCAGAGUGUUUUUAAAGGCAUUACUAUUAAUUAGUAUCUUGGUGUAUAUUGCUCCUACGCUACAAAGAUGGGAUUGCUGGGGGACAGAUUGCCGUUUUAAGGACAGGUUUCAG